CCCUUCCACUAGAGGGCUCCAAUCAUUGUUUACAUUUUUUGGGCUGUCUGACGUGCAAGGAAGAAAGAGACACGAUAGCCUUUUCAGCUACAGAGAGCCAAACAGAAAAAACAAAGCAGACAAAGAUUAAACCUGUCACUUAACUAUCCAAAUAACAUUGCCCCAACGUGUUUAACCGGCUGUCAUUAGGCUGUGUAUAGCCAGAGGGCAAUAAAAAAAAA